GUUCCUAUUCCACAUGAACACAAUUUAUUCUCUGCCAGUAUGACCCGGCUGUUGCAUAUUUGUGAUAAACACGUAAAUUGUAAGCUGCGGUGCUUAGUCCUGUUCUCAGCUUCAAGAAAUGACCUGUGAAAGUGGAGAUAAUUCUUGUCCAGAGGCAUGGUAUAUUGGUGAAUGGUUUCGCUAUUUUCUGUUUGGGGUCUGGGUCUUAGAUAUUGCUUUGAUAUUUUUGAUAAUGCAUUUAAGUAUAAAAAUACAACAGAUUAAGAUGAGGCUGGAGCGAGAUGAUUGGCUGGUGAGCGACGAGAAAGAACAGCUUCGUGGGUCACAGUGAUGCCGCCAAGCUAAAAGCCGCAGGACGCGAUGGAAUGCAGUGCUGAUCCGGGAGAGCCAUCCUUCCCCAAAGCAUUCAGGGACUCUCCAACCACUCACCCAGGGCAGGCUUGUGCUGAGGCAGGCAGCCAAUGUCUACAAUCUCUUUGGAAACGUCUUACUCAAAACUGGGCUCGAUUUAAUCAAUAAAAGUAAAUUGCCAUUAGCUGCAUGUUGAUCAUGUAUAAUCAUGUAUGAUCGCUGAUCACAUAGCAAAUCAGAUUUUAAUUUAUCUUCAUGGUGCAUUUACAAUAUCAUUGAUGAUGAUGUCAUAUUGCAAAGGAAAAGCGUGAGACAAUCUAUUGUUGUAUUAUUAUUGAUGCAUCAGUGAUUAUAUUUUGCAUGUUAUGGAGCAUCUUGCUCUUGGAAGGACUGAAAAUGUUGACAACUCAAAGCCAUUUCUGCAAAAUGCAACUAACAGUUGCUACUGAGCUGAACUUAACCACAGCCUCGUGUAUUUUUAGAGUAUUUUUAGUGCUUUGUGAGACAGUCAUAUCUGUGUCACAUGCUCCUCCUUAUUGCUCCUCCUGAGUACAUGGCACAUUACUCAGCAUGAAUGUAUUCUAACUUUGUUUUAAAACCGAAACAAAAAUUUGCAGACGACCGAUGUUGAUAAAAUGCCUGUAAUGUAAAAUGAACAAUACAAUUUCUGACUUCAG